rnacentral:lncRNA from 1 species
AUGUGUCUUCCUAACCGAGCGUCUAACUUUCCUCCAUCUGUGUCUCUGUCUGUAUGUUGUAAACGUAUUUCAUGUGUUAUUUCUGUGUCCGUCUUUGACCCGUCAGUGUCUUUUGUGUCCCAUCGAACAGCUUCAUCCAACAACCACAAACUAACCAGGAGUUCCUCCAACCGCAGAAGCAUCGCUGGGUUCCCCGAAGAAACAUCCAGAGCCAAAACACCCACGGGGGAGUCAGCAAACACACCAAGCCGCAGUUCUUCCUUCAGGGCCAACAGCAAGGGCCCUGCCACACCGAAACGGGUGAGGUCUAGCAGGAGUCGCGCCCAGUCUCCCUGCUCCCCUGGUCAGUAUCCGCCCUCCCCUCUCCGGCAGAGAGCCAGCACCCCCGGCACCGAUGAGGUCAAAGGUCACAGCACCCUGGAGAGGAAAUCCACCAAAUCUGAGACAUCGGAGAAGAAGAUCCCCAAAUCCACCAGCAGAGAACUCAACGCAGAGUCUCCGGGCACGCCCACAGGAAGGAGUGUGGGCGGGACCACAGACGCCGAGGAGGCGUCCAGACUGCUGGCCGAGAGACGCCGUCUGGCCCGAAUACAGAAGGAGCAGGAGGAGCGACAGCGGCAGGAGGAGGAGAGGUGA